rnacentral:rRNA from 1 species
CAAGGAAUUUUCCCCAAUGGGCGCAAGCCUGAGGGAGCAACGCCGCGUGCGGGAGGACGCCCUUCGGGGUGUAAACCGCUUUUGGUGGGGACGAAGCCAGUGACGGUACCCGCCGAAGAAGGCCCGGCUAACUACGUGCCAGCAGCCGCGGUAACACGUAGGGGCCGAGCGUUGUCCGGAGUUACUGGGCGUAAAGCGCGCGCAGGCGGUUUGGUACAUCGGUGGUGAAAGCCCCGGGCUUAACCCGGGAGGGUCCAUCGAGAUGGCCGGACUGGAGGCAGGGCGAGGGCGGUGGAAUUCCGGGUGUAGUGGUGAAAUGCGUAGAGAUCCGGAGGAACACCAGUGGCGAAGGCGGCCGCCUGGACCUGUCCUGACGCUGAGGCGCGAAGGCGUGGGGAGCGAACGGGAUUAGAUACCCCCGUAGUCC